UUAGAUGAUGAUAACCUUACUCAGCUCACUCAGAGAAUUUAUCAUGCUGAUAAAAACCCUAUCCAACAUUCAAACCAUCUGAUUUCUUU
rnacentral:snoRNA from 1 species